UACGUAGGGUGCGAGCGUUAAUCGGAAUUACUGGGCGUAAAGUGUGCGCAGGCGGCCGCGCAAGUCGGGUGUGAAAUCCCCGAGCUUAACUUGGGAAUUGCGCUCGAAACUACGUGGCUGGAGUGUGGCAGAGGAAGGUGGAAUUCCACGUGUAGCGGUGAAAUGCGUAGAUAUGUGGAGGAACACCGAUGGCGAAGGCAGCCUUCUGGGCCAACACUGACGCUCAUGCACGAAAGCGUGGGGAGCAAACAGG
rnacentral:rRNA from 1 species